rnacentral:rRNA from 1 species
AGUGAACGCUGGCGGCAGGCCUAACACAUGCAAGUCGAGCGGAAGAAGGGAGCUUGCUCCUGGAUUCAGCGGCGGACGGGUGAGUAAUGCCUAGGAACCUGCCUGGCAGCGGGGGAUAACGUCCGGAAACGGGCGCUAAUACCGCAUACGCGCAGAGGGAGAAAGGGGGGGAGCUUCGGACCUCACGCUAUCAGACGAGCCUAGGUCGGAUUAGCUAGUUGGUGGGGUAAAGGCCUACCAAGGCGACGAUCCGUAACUGGUCUGAGAGGAUGAUCAGUCACACUGGAACUGAGACACGGUCCAGACUCCUACGGGAGGCAGCAGUGGGGAAUAUUGGACAAUGGGCGCAAGCCUGAUCCAGCCAUGCCGCGUGUGUGAAGAAGGUCUUCGGAUUGUAAAGCACUUUUAGUUGGGAAGAAGAGCAGUAAGUUAAUACCUUGCUGUUUUGACGUUACCAACAGAAUAAGCACCGGCUAACUUCGUG